rnacentral:lncRNA from 1 species
CAUCAUUGAGGUGUAGAGUGAAUCGCUGCGGAGCUUUCAAAUCUGCUUUCCAUGUAAGUAAUCCUGCAGAGGAGAUAUGUGCUCCUUCUGGACCAGAUUCCAAUGUAAAAGCGAACUUCAGAGCCUUCUGGGUCCAAGGCCAUGAACUGCUCUUCUUUGAUCUCUUGAGAAGAAAGCCUAGACCACACUACAAGAAAUCCCACUGAGUUGUUGGUUGGGGAAACAUCAAAUGCACACCUACAGAAAAGCCUGGACUCAAUCACUUCCACCACAACCUCUGGCCUUCCGGGAGGUGAAGGUGGCGAUGCGGCCAAAGACUGACCUAGUGGAAGAAAAUGCAUAAUUUGUAAAUUAAAGAUUUUGAAGAAUGAAGACUGGCUUAUGGAAAAAGCAUAGAAAGAUUAUAACUCUGGAUACCUGACAGGUUCAGCAAAGGCGUUUUACGGCAGAUUAGAAGGAAUUUAAAGAGCAGGAAGCAGCAAGAAACAAGACAACAAAAACAGGACGCAAGGUCCGAGACAAGAGGAGGCUGUAGCCAUCCGCAUGCAAAAUAAAGCCAAAGAGCAGCAGAGGAAAAAGUGACCCCUCAAAAACAGCGGGACCAGGAGAAGAUGAAACCUGCCUCUUCCUAGAUUUAAGUCAAACCUGUCUCGGAAUUUCCUUGCUUGGAGCCUGUAGCUGAAGGGAAAGCAAUCACUCGUCAGCAGAGGGCAGUGUGGAGACACCUAAUCUGAACCCCAGGGUUCAGAUCACAUUUUUG